rnacentral:rRNA from 1 species
UACGAAGGGGGCUAGCGUUGUUCGGAAUCACUGGACGUAAAGCGCACGUAGGCGGAUCUUUAAGUCAGGGGUGAAAUCCCGAGGCUCAACCCUGGAAAGGCCGUGGAAACUGGUGAGCUAGAGUGCGGUAGGGGCAGAGGGAAUUCCCAGUGUAGCGGUGAAAUGCGUAGAGAUUGGGAAGAACACCGGUGGCGAAGGCGGCUUACUGGACCGGUUCUGACGCUGAGGCGCGAAAGCGUGGGGAGCAAACAGG